AACGAACGCUGGCGGCAUGCCUAACACAUGCAAGUCGAACGAGACCUCCCGGUUUAGUGGCGCACGGGUACUUAACGCCGGGGAACCUGCCCUUAAGUUCGCAAUCCCUCCCCUAAAGGGGUGCUAAUACCGGAUAAUCUCUUCCGACCUAAGAUUUAUCGCCUUUGGAUGGGCCCGCGUUAGAUUAGCUAGUUGGUAGGGUACUAGCAUACCAACGCGACGAUGCAUAGCUGGUCGGAGAGGAUGAUCAGCCGGACUGGGACUGAGACACGGACCAGAAUGCUACGCGAGGGAGCAGAGGGGAAUAUUGGAGGAGGGGCGAAAGCCUGAUAAAGCCAUGCGGCGUGAGUGAUGAAGGCCUUAGGGUUGUAAAGCUGUUUGAGACGGGAUGAUAAUGACGGUACCGGGAGAAGAAGCACCGGCUAACUACGUG
rnacentral:rRNA from 1 species